AAUCUGGGACGACACUAAACGCACAAGCAUUAUGCCCCGUAUUCUCAGAACGCGUCUCAAUUAAUGUUCCUUGGAUAACGCAGCUGAAAGUAUAGUUCGCCUAUAGCUUAUUAAAAGUUAAAACUUUGAAUUUAAUUUAAAAUUAAGGAUAUUUAUGAGGAAAAUGAAGGCAUUUGCACGGUGGCAUAGAGGUGACAUUCGCUUCUCUUUUUUUAAAUUGCUCUCCUCUUUUAUCUAUCUCGUGGCCACGGGUUAGCUAUGUCGUGGCCAAGAGAUAGAAAAAAGAGGAGUGCAAAACUAAAUAAAAGCGGUGUGCAAUUAAAAAAGAGCGGUGCAGUAAAUAAAGGCAGAGUGCAUUAAACAAAAGAGGAGAGAAUUUUCGCUAUCUCGAGAUCCCGAGUUAGUCAGCCAAUCAAAUUUUGCGAAACAUGUGUAAAUAUUCUGUGCGCAUAUAUAUAGCUGGUCAAAGCAGGCAAGGUUCUGAUAUAACAUAACAUACUACUAUUAGUACAACUAAUGGACUCUCCCAUCCUUCUAAAUUGGAUCAAUUUAUUUCCAAAAUUAGGGAUGUCUAGUAUAUUUAUUUCUAUGUUUAGAAUAUUUCUUACAGAAGAUCCUUUAAGCAAACAGCGCAGACCCUGAUGAGACGCCGCAUCAUGCGGCGUCUCAUCUGGGUCUACGCUGUUGACAAGGGCUUUUUUCUAUACGCGAAGCAUAAGUGGGUAAAUCACACUUAUUGUAUCAAAUAGUCCCAUCAUUCGCAUUCGGUUACUUCCAAAAUGCUCUUAUUUAUGGCUUUGUCCCAAGUCCCUCAACUCUGUAAUGACAAAUCAUAUGUGACUUCAGGUGACUCUUCUGACUGAACCAUUUGUAGCACACCCUGCAUUCAAACGGCUGCUCCCCCGUGUGAACCCGGAUGUGGGUCUCCAACUUGUAGCGAUUCGGGACAUCCUUACCGCAAAAUGAGCACACUGAAAUAAAAAAUGUAUUAUACAAUCAAUUUAUUACAUUGGAAAACAGACAGAACCGAAUGAAAUAUAUACAUUCAAUAAGGUUAAAUUUAAUACAAUGGCACACUAUGAAAUUCUCAGAAAAUCCAAGAAAUAACAAGAGAUUGCCAAGCAAUAUGGUCCCCUACCGGACACUCCACCAUUGUCAGUAAACAAUAUUAUGUUUACAUUUGUUGCCAUAGCAACCACAAUUUUUGACGUAGGAACAAAAUGAAUUGACGUGCAUAAUUUCCAUAUUGCCAUCUGUCCAUGUUUCAAGUUUUAUGAAAAAAUAUGAAGAACUUUUGAAGUUAUCGCAGGAUCCGGAAAAGUGUGACAGACGGACUGACACACGUAGCGCAAACCAUAAGUCCUCCGGUAGGGGACAAUUACACACGCGUCAUUUUGACAGACACUUGAAGAUGCACCUUUCGUAUAUAUAAUUGCCGAAAUGGGUCUAAUACAACAUGUGUCUUGUUGCUAACAAAUUAUACUUUACUAUUUGGUAAUAAUACACGUGUAUAACUGUCAGAAUAUCCACAUUCGUCUGCUACAAUUUUGGCAUUUGAAGCAGUGAAUGAAUCAAUAAAUUAAGAUGCGUGCUUUGCGUUACCAACGCGUGUACGCGCCUAUAUGGGCCUCUGCGUGCAUUUUACCCCAGUCAAGAACACAUCUGUCUCACAACGUUUUCCUUGCUCUGACGAUUUUAUGACGAUUGUAUUGUGUAUGUUUUGUGGUUGGCUAAUCAUUUUUUCGGAAAAAAACUUAAUCCAGUCUGAAAACAACAGUAUUUUUAACUCACAACAUUAAACAUAGGCGCCUCGUUCUGGAAAAACUGGGCUUAAUGCAUGUGCGUAAAGUGUCGUUCCGUAUUAGCCUUGCAGUCCGCAAAUGCUUAUCAUGGACAACAGUUUUUGCCUAAACUGGACUUUCGUCAACAGACUUCCUUUACACUUAAAAUCCCACACAAGCAGAAAGUGUCUACCAUGAUUAGUCUGUGCGCACAUGCAUUAGGCCGUGUUUUCGCAAAACGCGGCUCACAUUUGUAGUCACUGUCUUCUGCCACGCAUUCACAUAAGAUUGUCUAGAUUAGACGUUAUAUGGGUGACGCAGUGUCGUUUCAGGUGAUCCUUUCUCUGGAAGCUCCUGUUGCACACCUCGCAGACGUACUGACGUUCGUGUGUAUGCGUGAGCAGGUGACGCUUAAGUACAGCCUUAGGUCGAACACUCUUGUAGCAGAUAUGGUACACUGAAACGAUGAAAGCGAGGUUAACCCAUGUAUGCCUAGUGGACUCUCCCAUCCUUUGAUCCUGAGACCUCCAACCCACGAACCAAAAGUCUCAAACAGCGAGUCAGUGGCAGCAAUAUUGUCCAAUGUUGUCCAUGGGUAACAGAAGUUUAAGGAGACUGCGAGUAGGCUUAAGCACAAUGAAAGGGGGUAAACACAGAAAAUUCUGCUCGCCUGAAGUCUGCUGUCCACAAUGCUCUGGUGAUGGUCAGCAUUGAAGGACCAGACAAUGAGGCAGUGGACUUAGUUAUUUUAUAAUAUAAAAUAUGACUUUAGUAUAAUAAAUUGAGGAAAAGUAAAUAAACAAUAAAAUAAAUUUUAAUGCUUUCAUAGCUCUAAAUUAGUGUGUAUUUUAUAUAGGAACAUGUAGAAAAAAGUGGUUAAAUAGCUCCUAAGUAUAGUGUUUUGUGAUUAAGAAAAUGUAGAGAAAAAAAGAAAGCUUAAUGGGCAACCUUUUGAAUCAACCCCCAUUCCGCCAUGUCUUGCCGCUGUGCUUGACCAAAAUCCUGGGGAAAUGCUUGCAUACAUGACUUCUGUAUAUACAAUUAUUUAGAAUGAUGAUAUUUCUGACUUUCAAGAAAUACUGUAUUUCACAUAUCAUCCAUGUAGGCCUACAUGACUUUUGUAUAUCAAUCUGUAUUUAUGAUUUAAAUGAAAUUUCAUACCUACCAUA